rnacentral:rRNA from 7 species
GAGUUUGAUCAUGGCUCAGAUUGAACGCUGGCGGCAUGCCUUACACAUGCAAGUCGAACGGCAGCACGGGAGCUUGCUCCUGGUGGCGAGUGGCGAACGGGUGAGUAAUGCAUCGGAACGUAUCCUGGAGUGGGGGAUAACGUAGCGAAAGUUACGCUAAUACCGCAUAUUCUGUGAGCAGGAAAGCGGGGGACCUUCGGGCCUCGCGCUCUUGGAGCGGCCGAUGUCGGAUUAGCUAGUUGGUGAGGUAAAGGCUCACCAAGGCGACGAUCCGUAGCAGGUCUGAGAGGAUGAUCUGCCACACUGGAACUGAGACACGGUCCAGACUCCUACGGGAGGCAGCAGUGGGGAAUUUUGGACAAUGGGGGCAACCCUGAUCCAGCCAUGCCGCGUGAGUG